CUUCUGCGUCUUCUCUGGCCAAAUUCAGCUUACAACAUUCCCACGAGCAUUAUUGCAGGUUACAGAGCACCAGAUGUUUGAUCUGCCAGAAACCAGCAGCACAGAGGUGGAGUUUCACAACAAGCACGUUUGGUGGAUGUUUGUACAAUAAAGACUUAAUUUAUGUUUACUAGAACCAAACUUUUCUCAUGGAGGAUUAAUUUAAUUUAAAACACAAUUCCACUGAAAGACACGUCACAGAUUUAGGGGGGCGGGUUUCCCAGUUUUCCUCACUCAGGGCGGGUCAGUCACAUCGACACACAAAUGUCCAUCCAAAAAGGGAAAAUAGUCACACAGCGACAAACAAAAGGGAGAAUUCUGCACUGGUUCUUUGGUGUGAUGUUCUGGACCUGAACAGAGUAAGAAUCAGAGCUAAGAUGAGGGACGGUGAGGUGGAAGGGGUUUGUUGGGGAGGUGAUGCGACUACGAUCGCUUUUUCCUGCUUUCUAAAUUUCGGAAGUUGGCCGGCCGGAUCUUCAUCUCGGCAAACUCGAUGGAGUGUUCGUGUCCUUUCCAGUGGAACCAGUUGAUCCCCUGAGGAAUUCAAGAGAUAUACGCAGAAAUGUGCUUAAAAAAUAGAGGUGAUUGAGUCAAUAAGAGCGGCCCAUAAAAUCUACACAAUCUGAACUUUAUUAAUAGAGAUGAUAUCCAAUAAAACAAUUUUAUUGCAGAUGUACGUACCUUACUAUGACUGCUGUCCCCGUAUUUCCCCAUUAAGUUGACACGAUGACAGUUUUUAUACCAGAAGGCUCCUUUGUAGGACAGGGCGCAGUUGGUCACGGCGAUGUCAUUAUCAUUAUCGUAUGUGGAGAAGGGCCGGCCCUGGUGGUAGGUCAUGGAGUCACCUGGUGGGAGGCAUUAAAGUAGAGGACCCGGUUAUGGUUCUGCUGAUGAAAAACUCGCUUUUCCUAAGAUGGAUUCAUUCAAUCCUUUUUUAUAUUAAACCUUUGAAACGGUCCCAGGAAAAACCAAAGACAUUAAACUUCUCUUUAAUGAGAACAGAGGAAAUGUCAUGCAGUGAACCACUAAACACUCUAAAUGAAGGAUUUUCUCUGAAUAAGACCAAAAAAAAAAGAUUUUUCUCAGGAAACUUGAAUAAUGUUAUGUACAGUUUUAUAGUAAACAGAUGUACGGUUCAAUAUGACAUUCCAACUUCACGAUUCUAGAAGCAUUCUCUUUAAGACUUUAUAAAUUGUAAACCAAAUUUUAUUGUUUUUCAUUAGGGAAUCUGUAUUUCCUUCUCUGUUUUUAAGUAUUAAGUUUUAAAGAGAACUACAUUUUGCAUUUUGAAAUUAUUCAAAACAGCUGAAAAGCUUAACCUAAAUGACAACUGUAGACAUUAAAUUUGACCUUCUUUUACCUGGAUCUGAAAAGUUUUAUUACACGUUUUCCUUUUGUUGCUGUUUUGUUCCUUUAUGCUAUUCUUUUAUGUGAUUUGUACUUGUUGCACAUGGGAAAUAUACAGAUGAGAAAAGAUUAGAUUAGAUCAAGAUGAGACACAAUCAAGACGAGAUAAGAUAUAGUUGAAUUAGAUCAAAUCAAGACGAGCCAGCUUAAGGCGUACAUCAAGACAGGUCAAAAAGAGGUUUAUUCUUCUCAAGUCUGAAGAAUUAAAAAUUUGACCUAAAAAGCUAAGUAAUGUUUUGAAUUGCAGAAAUAUAACCACACAUUGUUGCAGUCCCCCAACUAAGCAUACCGUUGUUAGCAUUGCACACAAGACAAUGUAUAAAAUUUUUAGAAAACAGAUAAUUCUUCAGCAACUCUCAUUAAAAAUAAUGACAAUUAUUAGCCAAUUUUUGACAAAUAAAGGAUAAUUUUGGCAAAUAAUUUCUAAAUCUGUGCCAGAUUUAUUUGAUUUCUGUUUAAAUGUGUCACUGCAGCACAAAUGUGAUGACAUUUUCUGAAGCUGCAGUUGAGCUCAUGGCCACCAGGUGACAGGUUUUUGAAAGCGCUCACUAUUCAGGGAUCACAAAGUUGAAUACAAACGUUAUUACCAGUUCAGAUUGCAGAGUAAAGACCUUUUUAAAGAUUUUUUUAAUGCUGAGAUUGAGCAUGCUCCAACUCCAAAAGUGCAUAAAUCCUAAAAACUUCAUACAUUUUUUAUGAAAAUUGAUCUUUAGUUGUAAGAUCUCCUCUUAAACCAGCCACCAAUUCACUGUUCAUUAACAUUUAGCCACUUCCCUUAACCCUCAGACACAAAUUUCCUGCAUCCCCCACUCAUCUUCAAACCCACUUUACAUGAUUAUGACCAUUUAUGGCAUAAAAAAAUAAUUUGUUUGGUCCCUUUUAACUGAGACAAGCCCGUUUCCUGUUUCUAAACUCUUUCCAUCUAAAACACUUUUCUUAAAGGAAUCAUGGGUAAAAUUUUAAGGAAAAUGUUUGUCCUCUAUUAAGGAGUGUGAUUGGAGACUCUGUGGUUUUGAUCCUCUGCUGCACAGUUUAAAUCUGUUCUCAAUGAAGGUGGAGCUUUCCAUGAUCCAGUCAGUUUUCAGAAAAAGAACAAUAUUUCCAUGAUUUCCCAGCUUGCAUCAAUGCAAAGUCACCAAGUCCACCCACAUCUGCAUUUCUGAAACUCCAAAUUUAUUCGAUUUUAACCCUUUAAUACCAAAGAUGUUGCUGGUGAUAUCUUUGAAAUUCUUUGACAUCCCAUAACUCUUCUACCAUUUAUGCGAUCAGCUAAUUCAUAUAUAGAGAAAAAGAGCAUCUUUGCAUCAUAUUACUGACGUUAAGUGUCGCAUUUUUGACAGUAUCAGCUGAUUUAGUGCUUUAAAAUGUUGCAAAUUGCCCACUGGAAUGACAUUCAUUUUAUAAAAGGUUGAAGAGUUACGGAAUGGUUAAAACCCUACAGUUAGCUUAAGAUUGUAAACAUUUUUAAAGCUGGACAGUAUUGUCGUUACAACCCAAAGAUUGAGGCAGCUCUUACCUGCAGUUCCGCUGUACGCUCCUAUGUUGAUCUUAUAGCGCGAUCUGGGCUCUGAAAUGGUGAACUUGUCGUAUUGGGCGUAGGCCGACUCCCCCUUGUCCUUCAGGUCCACCCGAAGCUCAUAGUGUCCCAAAGCUGUGAUUUUGUGUAGACUGGAGAGGCCUGUAACCCAGGUUCAGAGCUGUAAGUGAUUGAAGAUGAGAACAGAUAAAGCUGUGGAGAAAUGGAGCGGCCGUACCCAGCCAGAACUCAUCGUUCAUGUUCCCAAAGCCAGCCGUGUAGUUCUUCCAGUUCCUGAAGAAAUCCAGCUUUCCGUUCUGACGUCUGAGGAAAACCUGAAGAGGAGAGACGAAGGUGAGUUGGCUUCACUUUUCUCAGGAAAAGCUGCUUGUUUUUCUAAACAGGAACUUGGCGUCUCACCAUCCAGCCGCCUCCGUCUGUGCUCAUGUCACAGUAAACCUGGAUGGGAAGGCUCUCCUCGCCUCCGAUGUAGAUGGUGUAAAGACCAGAGGUCGUCUCUCCGUUCAGUAAAAUCUGAGCGCAGUCCCGCGGCCGUCUGUACAGCUGGCCAACUGAAGGGUGCAGAUUCAAAAAUAACUGACCCUCUGAGGUUAUAUGAGCAGAUCAAUGUUUCCCACCUCUACAGGUGAGCAAAAAAGUGCUUUUUUUCCAUCCUUACACGUGGAAAAGACGGUGGUGACGAAGCGACUCCUCUGUGGUCCGGCAAUGGCCUGCAGGCGGACGCUGUACUCUGUGGAGCCGGUCAGCUGGGACAUGCUGUAGGAGGAGGCUGUGGGGCUCAGCAUCACCUCCUGCAGACAAGCAUCCCUUCUCAGCAGAAUUCUACUCCUAAAUCCAAACUACAGAUCUCUCUGCUCUGCUUUACCAGCUUUACUGCACAAAUGUGUAAAUAUUUGAGAUUGCAUAAAAGUCCAGCUUUUAUCUCUUCAA